GCCGGGUGUGGUGGCAUGCACUUGUAGACCCAGCUACUCGGGAGGCUGAGGUGGGAGGAUUGCUUGAGCCCAGGAGUUCAAGGCUGCAGUGAGCUGUGAUUGGGCCACUGCACUCCAGCCUGGGCAACAGAGCAAGACCCUGUCUCAA
rnacentral:SRP_RNA from 2 species